GUUGGCCUCAGAUCAGGGAGGAUCACCC
rnacentral:sRNA from 1 species